rnacentral:rRNA from 1 species
GUUAGAACGCUCGUAGUCGGAUUUCGGGGCGAGCCUUCCGGUCUGCCGAUGGGUAUGCACUGGUCGGGUCGUCCUUCCUUCCGGAGACCGUCCCUACUCUUAACUGAGCGGGGGCGGGAGACGGAAUUUUUACUUUGAAAAAAUCAGAGUGUUUCAAGCAGGCAGCUCGCUCUUGCAUGGAUUAGCAUGGGAUAAUGAAAUAGGACUUUGGUGCUAUUUUGUUGGUUUCGAACACCGAAGUAAUGAUGAGAAGGGACAGUCAGGGGCACUCGUAUUCCGCCGAGAGAGGUGAAAUUCUCAGACCAGCGGAAGACGAACCACUGCGAAAGCAUUUGCCAGGGAUGUUUUCACUGAUCAAGAACGAAAGUUAGGGGAUCGAAGACGAUCAGAUACCGUCGUAGUCUUAACCAUAAACCAUGCCGACUAGGGAUUGGGGGAUGUUCACUGAUUGACUUCCUCAGCACCUUACGGGAAACUAAAGUCUUUGGGUUCCGGGGGGAGUAUGGUCGCAAGGCUGAAACUUAAAGGAAUUGACGGAAGGGCACCACCAGGUGUGGAGCCUGCGGCUUAAUUUGACUCAACACGGGGAAACUUACCAGGUCCAGACAUUGUGAGGAUUGACAGAUUGAGAGCUCUUUCUUGAUUCGAUGGGUGGUGGUGCAUGGCCGUUCUUAGUUGGUGGAGUGAUUUGUCUGGUUAA